rnacentral:rRNA from 1 species
ACAGCUUGUACAGGAUAGGUAGGAGCCUUGGAAACCGGAGCGCUAGCUUCGGUGGAGGCAUCGGUGGGAUACUACCCUGGCUGUAUUGACCUUCUAACCCGCUGCCCUUAUCGGGCAGGGAGACAGUGUCAGGUGGGCAGUUUGACUGGGGCGGUCGCCUCCUAAAAUGUAACGGAGGCGCCCAAAGGUUCCCUCAGAAUGGUUGGAAAUCAUUCGCAGAGUGUAAAGGCACAAGGGAGCUUGACUGCGAGACCUACAAGUCGAGCAGGGACGAAAGUCGGGCUUAGUGAUCCGGUG